AACGCUGGCGGCGUGCCUAACACAUGCAAGUCGCACGAGAAAGGGGCUUCGGCCAUGAGUAAAGUGGCGCACGGGUGAGUAACACGUGACUUAUCUACCUCCGAGUGGGGAAUAACUGAGGGAAACCUUAGCUAAUACCGCAUAACACUUACGAGUCAAAGCAGCAAUGCGCUUGGAGAGGAGGUCGCGGCAGAUUACUUAGUUGGUGGGGUAAAGGCCUACCAAGACGAUGAUCUGUAUCCGGCCAUGAGAGGGCGCACGGACACACUGGAACUGAAACACGGUCCAGACUCAUACGGAAGGCAGCAGUGGGGAAUUUUGCGCAAUGGGGGACUCCCUGACGCAGCAACGCCGCGUGGAGGAUGAAGUCUCUUGGGACGUAAACUCCUUUCGAUAGGGAAG
rnacentral:rRNA from 1 species